CAGAUCGAUCCCCCUCCCUCCCCCUCCCUCGCACCCGCGCCCGCUCUCCACCGCCGCCGACGACCCCCAGCCGACAAGGAGAAGCAGCAGCGCGUCCACCUCACUGAGGAGCAGCAGCCUCGUCUACAUCGCCGGAAUCGAGCGCUCCUUCCUCUUCGGUCGCCGGUGCGCCAUCGCCCAACUACUCUGCUCCGACCACUCCGGCCUUCCCCGAGCACGCCUACGGCUCCGUGGUUAGUGGAUUGGUCAGCGGAUCUGAAGGUCAGUGGAUUCCGAGCAGCCAUAUCAAAGAAGAGGCCCUUUUCCUUUUUAUAACUAACAAGAUUAAAGAAAGAAAACCAAGUAAUGAAGGAGAGAGGGGAUGCAUGCAGGGGCAGGACGGUGGUGGCUCAGAAAGUCACUCCAUUGCCCAUGGCCAUGGGGGCAUUUUCAUUGCCCUAGUGCAGGGGCAGGAGGGAAAGAUGCAAAAGCUCGUUUUACCAGCUGUAAGGCAGUGUGCAAUGCAACACCUGCAUUAGUUAGUGGAUGAGGCCACAAGACCAGCAUUAGGGUUUAGGGCUUAAGCCCAGAGGAGAAAGAAAGGGUUGUCCAUAUGAAAAGAUACCAUCAUUAUUGUUUCCAUGAAUGUGGUGUAAUAUAUGUGGCAUGUGUUUGU